UACGUAGGGGACAAGCGUUAUCCGGAUUUACUGGGCGUAAAGCGCCCGUAGGCGGCCUGACAAGUUGGACGUGAAAGCUCCUGGCUUAACUGGGAGAGGCCGUUCAAAACUGUCAAGCUAGAGUCUGGAAGAGGAGAGCGGAAUUCCCGGUGUAGUGGUGGAAUGCGUAGAGAUCGGGAGGAACACCAGUGGCGAAAGCGGCUCUCUGGUCCAAAACUGACGCUGAGGGGCGAAGGCGUGGGGAGCGAACGGG
rnacentral:rRNA from 1 species